rnacentral:hammerhead_ribozyme from 1 species
AUCCAACUGACGAGUCUCAAAUGGGACGAAACGCGCAUCUUGAAU